UACGUAGGGUGCGAGCGUUGUUCGGAAUUACUGGGCGUAAAGGGCUCGUAGGCGGCCAACUAAGUCAGACGUGAAAUCCCUCGGCUUAACCGGGGAACUGCGUCUGAUACUGGUUGGCUUGAAUCCGGGAGAGGGAUGUGGAAUUCCAGGUGUAGCGGUGAAAUGCGUAGAUAUCGGGAGGAACACCAGUGGCGAAGGCGGCAUCCUGGACCAUAACUGACGCUGAGGCGCGAAAGCUAGGGGAGCAAACGGG
rnacentral:rRNA from 1 species